AGGGUUUGAUUAUGGCUCAGGAUGAACGCUGGCGGCGUGCCUAACACAUGCAAGUCGAGCGAUUUACUUCGGUAAAGAGCGGCGGACGGGUGAGUAACGCGUGGGUAACCUGCCCUAUACACACGGAUAACAUACCGAAAGGUAUGCUAAUACGAGAUAACAUAAGUAAUUCGCAUGGAUUUCUUAUCAAAGCUUUUGCGGUAUAGGAUGGACCCGCGUCUGAUUAGCUAGUUGGUAAGGUAACGGCUUACCAAGGCGACGAUCAGUAGCCGACCUGAGAGGGUGAUCGGCCACAUUGGAACUGAGACACGGUCCAA
rnacentral:rRNA from 1 species